GUGAAAUCACACUAAUGGACCAAGCUACACUCACUGCCGAUACACAAAUUGAGAAAAAAAAUCAUCUGUUGAGCUAAUAAACCGGAUAAAGAAGAUUUUAUGAGCCUUGAGGAAGAGAGAAGAACUACUUCAACCACAUCUAAGCCCUCCGAACUCCGAUUGGUUUUAUUUUUCUGCUGGAUCAGGAGUCGAUCUGCAUGAAUUCUGAACCUUCUGUGGUUCAGUGGCGAGCCAAGCGACAGGAAGCGGAGAAUGGGAUCCACUCCACGAGGACUACAGAAAUCUACCAACUUCUCUGAUACAGAUAAGCGCGCUCAAUAGAAACAAUUUAAAAAAAACUACCCGGGUAGUAGAAGAAUAUAUAAACAGACACACACACACACACCACAAGGAUCUAAGCUUUUUCUUCUGACACAGAAGAAAAGGACACUUUUAUUUGAACUUUUUUUUCUAUUUUUGUUUUGUUAUCAAAGAGCUCUAUUUUGUUGGGGUUUUUUCCCCCUAAUUCUUUGUA